rnacentral:rRNA from 1 species
CCUACGGGGGGCAGCAGUGGGGAAUAUUGCACAAUGGGGGAAACUCUGAUGCAGCGACGCCGCGUGAGUGAAGAAGUAAUUCUUUAUGUAAAGCUCUAUCAGCAGGGAAGAAAAUCACGGUACCUGAGUAAGACUCCACGGCUAACUCCGUUCCAGCAGCCGCGGUACUACGUAGGGGGCAAGCGUUAUCCGGAUUUACUGGGUGUAAAGGGAGCGUAGACGGCAGUGCAAGUCCGGGGUGAAAGGCGGGGGCUCAACCCCCGAACUGCUCUGGAUACUGUAGGGCUGGAGAGCAGGAGAGGUAAGUGGAAUGCCUGGUGUAGCGGUGAAAUGCGUAGAUAUUAGAAGGAACACCAGUGGCGAAGGCAGCUUACUAAACUAUAACUGACGUUGAGGCUCGAAAGCGUGGGGAGCAAACAGGAUUAGAUACCCCAGUAGUC